AUUGAACGCUGGCGGCAGGCCUAACACAUGCAAGUCGAACGAGUGGCGGACGGGUGAGUAAUGUCUGGGAAACUGCCUGAUGGAGGGGGAUAACUACUGGAAACGGUAGCUAAUACCGCAUACCAUCGGAUGUACCCAGAUGGGAUUAGCUGGUUGGUGGGGUAACGGCUCACCUAGGCGACGAUCCCUAGCUGGUCUGAGAGGAUGACCAGCCACACGGGGACUGAGACACGGUCCAGACUCCUACGGGAGGCAGCAGUGGGGAAUAUGGCACAAUGGGCGCAAGCCUGAUGCAGCCAUGCCGCGGGGAUGAAGAAGGCCUUAGGGUUGUAAAGUACUUUCAGCGGGGAGGCGUUACCCGCAGAAGAAGCACCGGCUAACUCCGUGCCAGCAGCCGCGGUAAUUC
rnacentral:rRNA from 1 species